GGGGUUAUAGCUCAGCUGGGAGAGCGCUUGCAUGGCAUGCAAGAGGUCCACGGUUCGAUCCCGUGUAGCUCCACCA
rnacentral:tRNA from 26 species